rnacentral:rRNA from 1 species
UACAUAUGGGGCUAGCGUUGUCCGGAAUCAUUGGGCGUAAAGAGCGUGUAGGCGGCUUGAUAAGUCCGCUGUGAAAGUCCAGGGCUCAACCCUGGAAUGCCAGUGGAAACUGUCAAGCUAGAGUCCGGAAGAGGCGAGUGGAACUCCUGGUGUAGCGGUGAAAUGCGCAGAUAUCAGGAAGAACACCAAUGGCGAAGGCAGCUCGCUGGGACGGUACUGACGCUGAGACGCGAAAGCGUGGGGAGCAAACAGG